rnacentral:lncRNA from 1 species
CCAUGAAGUUUUUAAGCCAGAAUCCAUUCUCCAUAAACAUAACAAGUGGGGCAAACACAAAGGCUAUUCCAACUAAAGAAGCCAGAAGGGUCCGCCAGUCAGUCCCAACUGCCCCCCUGCCACCGGGCUAUAUGCUUCCACGACGGCUCCAACGCAGCCAUGUGCAAUCACAAAGGCUCCUAUGCAAUGUUCUUUGAGACGAUGCCUUUCUCGCAAAAAAAAAAGGUUGAUCCUGCGGUGCUGCCCUCACAAUGACGUCACCUAUACGUACCAUGGCCCAUGGGGCCCACCUGGCACUGAGAUUCCAUGCUGUCGUCGCCAUCCAGGUUGGCAGCAGCCACGGUGACUAGUCCACGGAAAGACGAAAAAAAAAAUCUCCGUAGAAAGUUUCGCAAAGGGCAA